GGGUCCGUAGUUCAGAUGGUCAGAGCGGGGGAUUCAUAAUCCUCAGAUCGUUGGUUCAAGUCCAACCGGACCCA
rnacentral:tRNA from 1 species